GGGUUGUGAGGUUAAGCGACUAAGCGUACACGGUGGAUGCCCUGGCAGUCAGAGGCGAUGAAGGACGUGCUAAUCUGCGAAAAGCGUCGGUAAGGUGAUAUGAACCGUUACAGCCGGCGAUGUCCGAAUGGGGAAACCCAGUGCAAUUCGUUGCACUAUCGUUAACUGAAUACAUAGGUUAACGAGGCGAACCGGGGGAACUGAAACAUCUAAGUACCCCGAGGAAAAGAAAUCAACCGAGAUUCCCCCAGUAGCGGCGAGCGAACGGGGAGCAGCCCAGAGUCUGAAUCAGCUUGUGUGUUAGUGGAACGGUCUGGAAAGUCCGACGGUACAGGGUGAUAGUCCCGUACACCAAAAUGCACAGGUUGUGAACUCGAAGAGUAGGGCGGGACACGUGGUAUCCUGUCUGAAUAUGGGGACCAUCCUCCAAGGCUAAAUACUCCUGACUGACCGAUAGUGAACCAGUACCGUGAGGGAAAGGCGAAAAGAACCCCGGCGAGGGGAGAAAAGAACCUGAAACCGUGUACGUACAAGCAGUGGGAGCACCUUCGGGUGUGACUGCGUACCUUUGUAUAAUGGGUCAGCGACUUAUAUUCUGUAGCAAGGUUAACCGUAUAGGGAGCCGCAGGGAAACCGAGUCUUAACUGGGCGUUAAGUUGCAGGGUAUAGACCCGAAACCCGGUGAUCUAGCCAUGGGCAGGUUGAAGGUUGGGUAACACUAACUGGAGGACCGAACCGACUAAUGUUGAAAAAUUAGCGGAUGACUUGUGGCUGGGGGUGAAAGGCCAAUCAAACCGGGAGAUAGCUGGUUCUCCCCGAAAGCUAUUUAGGUAGCGCCUCGUGAACUCAUCUUCGGGGGUAGAGCACUGUUUCGGCUAGGGGGUCAUCCCGACUUACCAACCCGAUGCAAACUACGAAUACCGAAGAAUGUUAUCACGGGAGACACACGGCGGGUGCUAACGUCCGUCGUGAAGAGGAAACAACCCAGACCGCCAGCUAAGGUCCCAAAGUCAUGGUUAAGUGGGAAACGAUGUGGGAAGGCACAGACAGCCAGGAUGUUGGCUUAGAAGCAGCCAUCAUUUAAAGAAAGCGUAAUAGCUCACUGGUCGAGUCGGCCUGCGCGGAAGAUGUAACGGGGCUAAACCAUGCACCGAAGCUGCGGCAGCGACACUAUGUGUUGUUGGGUAGGGGAGCGUUCUGUAAGCCUGCGAAGGUGUGCUGUGAGGCAUGCUGGAGGUAUCAGAAGUGCGAAUGCUGACAUAAGUAACGAUAAAGCGGGUGAAAAGCCCGCUCGCCGGAAGACCAAGGGUUCCUGUCCAACGUUAAUCGGGGCAGGGUGAGUCGACCCCUAAGGCGAGGCCGAAAGGCGUAGUCGAUGGGAAACAGGUUAAUAUUCCUGUACUUGGUGUUACUGCGAAGGGGACGGAGAAGGCUAUGUUAGCCGGGCGACGGUUGUCCCGGUUUAAGCAUGUAGGCUGGUUAUCGGGCAAAUCCGGAUAAUCAAGGCUGAGGUGUGAUGACGAGGCACUACGGUGCUGAAGUAACAAAUGCCCUGCUUCGGGAAAAGCCUCUAAGCAUCAGGUAACAUCAAAUCGUACCCCAAACCGACACAGGUGGUCAGGUAGAGAAUACCAAGGCGCUUGAGAGAACUCGGGUGAAGGAACUAGGCAAAAUGGUGCCGUAACUUCGGGAGAAGGCACGCUGGUGUGUAGGUGAAGUCCCUGCGGAUGGAGCUGAGACCAGUCGAAGAUACCAGCUGGCUGCAACUGUUUAUUAAAACACAGCACUGUGCAAACACGAAAGUGGACGUAUACGGUGUGACGCCUGCCCGGUGCCGGAAGGUUAAUUGAUGGGGUUAUCCGUAAGGAGAAGCUCUUGAUCGAAGCCCCGGUAAACGGCGGCCGUAACUAUAACGGUCCUAAGGUAGCGAAAUUCCUUGUCGGGUAAGUUCCGACCUGCACGAAUGGCGUAAUGAUGGCCAGGCUGUCUCCACCCGAGACUCAGUGAAAUUGAACUCGCUGUGAAGAUGCAGUGUACCCGCGGCAAGACGGAAAGACCCCGUGAACCUUUACUAUAGCUUGACACUGAACAUUGAGCCUUGAUGUGUAGGAUAGGUGGGAGGCUUUGAAGCGUGGACGCCAGUCUGCGUGGAGCCAACCUUGAAAUACCACCCUUUAAUGUUUGAUGUUCUAACGUUGGCCCCUGACCGGGGUUGCGGACAGUGUCUGGUGGGUAGUUUGACUGGGGCGGUCUCCUCCCAAAGCGUAACGGAGGAGCACGAAGGUUAGCUAAUCCUGGUCGGACAUCAGGAGGUUAGUGCAAUGGCAUAAGCUAGCUUGACUGCGAGCGUGACGGCGCGAGCAGGUGCGAAAGCAGGUCAUAGUGAUCCGGUGGUUCUGAAUGGAAGGGCCAUCGCUCAACGGAUAAAAGGUACUCCGGGGAUAACAGGCUGAUACCGCCCAAGAGUUCAUAUCGACGGCGGUGUUUGGCACCUCGAUGUCGGCUCAUCACAUCCGGGCUGAAGUAGGUCCCAAGGGUAUGGCUGUUCGCCAUUUAAAGUGGUACGCGAGCUGGGUUUAGAACGUCGUGAGACAGUUCGGUCCCUAUCUGCCGUGGGCGCUGGAGAAUUGAGGGGGGCUGCUCCUAGUACGAGAGGACCGGAGUGGACGCAUCACUGGUGUUCGGGUUGUCAUGCCAAUGGCACUGCCCGGUAGCUAAAUGCGGAAGAGAUAAGUGCUGAAAGCAUCUAAGCACGAAACUUGCCCCGAGAUGAGUUCUCCCUGAGACUAUAAGUCUCCUGAAGGAACGUUGAAGACGACGACGUUGAUAGGCCGGGUGUGUAAGCGCAGCGAUGCGUUGAGCUAACCGGUACUAAUGAACCGUGAGGCUUAACCUUACAACGCCGAAG
rnacentral:rRNA from 1 species